rnacentral:lncRNA from 1 species
AAUCAUCGCAGCAUCACUCACAAUGGCCAGGAACAGCAGCGACACAGGGCGGCUCUGACGAAUGGGUGUGUGGGACAGCCACACAGAAGAGAACUAACUGUUCAACAACAGGAGCUAGUGCUGUGGUGAGCUUGAGAACACCACGUGAUAGAAGCUCAGCAAGGAGGCCUGACUAUUUAUAGGAAACGUCUAUAAGAAUGGGGGAAUGCUGGGAAAGAGGGAGGACCUAGGAGGAGGGUAACAGGACUGAAAAAGAAGAACAAAGAAGAAUCCUUUCAGACAAAAACAAACAAACAAACAAACAA